CAGCCGCCGCGGGAAUACGUAGGUGGCAAGCGUUAGUCGGAAUUACUGGGCGUAAAGCGUGCGCAGGCGGUCCGCUAAGACAGAUGUGAAAUCCCCGGGCUUAACCUGGGAACUGCAUUUGUGACUGGCGGGCUAGAGUAUGGCAGAGGGGGGUAGAAUUCCACGUGUAGCAGUGAAAUGCGUAGAGAUGUGGAGGAAUACCGAUGGCGAAGGCAGCCCCCUGGGCCAAUACUGACGCUCAUGCACGAAAGCGUGGGGAGCAAACAGGAUUAGAUACCCCCGUAGUCCCUGUCUCUUAUAC
rnacentral:rRNA from 1 species